rnacentral:rRNA from 1 species
UACGAAGGGGGCUAGCGUUGCUCGGAAUUACUGGGCGUAAAGGGCGCGUAGGCGGACAGUUUAGUCAGAGGUGAAAGCCCAGGGCUCAACCUUGGAAUUGCCUUUGAUACUGGCUGUCUUGAGUUCGGGAGAGGUGAGUGGAAUGCCGAGUGUAGAGGUGAAAUUCGUAGAUAUUCGGCGGAACACCAGUGGCGAAGGCGGGUCUCUGGACAGUUCCUGACACUGAGGCACGAAGGCCAGGGGAGCAAACGGG